UACGUAGGGUGCAAGCGUUGUCCGGAAUUAUUGGGCGUAAAGAGCUCGUAGGCGGUCUGUCGCGUCUGCUGUGAAAACUCGGGGCUUAACCCCGGGCCUGCAGUGGGUACGGGCAGACUAGAGUGCGGUAGGGGAGACUGGAAUUCCUGGUGUAGCGGUGAAAUGCGCAGAUAUCAGGAGGAACACCGGUGGCGAAGGCGGGUCUCUGGGCCGUAACUGACACUGAAUAGCGAAAGCCAGGGGAGCAAACGGG
rnacentral:rRNA from 1 species